rnacentral:rRNA from 1 species
UGAGGAACAUGACCUUCGGCGGGGGAUAGCCGGCCCAACGGCCGGGUAAUACCGCGUACGACCAUUUGGGGACAUCCCCGAGUGGUGAAAGCAGCAAUGCGCCGAUGGAGUGCCUCGCGGCCUAUCAGCUAGUUGGUGGGGUAACGGCUCACCAAGGCAACGACGGGUAGCUAGUCUGAGAGGAUGGCCAGCCACAUUGGGACUGAGACACGGCCCAGACUCCGUACGGGAGGNAG